rnacentral:rRNA from 1 species
UACGUAGGGGGCAAGCGUUGUCCGGAAUUAUUGGGCGUAAAGAGCUCGUAGGCGGUUUGUCGCGUCUGCUGUGAAAACCCGAGGCUCAACCUCGGGCCUGCAGUGGGUACGGGCAGACUAGAGUGCGGUAGGGGAGACUGGAAUUCCUGGUGUAGCGGUGAAAUGCGCAGAUAUCAGGAGGAACACCGGUGGCGAAGGCGGGUCUCUGGGCCGAUACUGACGCUGAGGAGCGAAAGCGUGGGGAGCGAUCCGG